CUGGAGUGCCGAAGGUUGCCUAUGCCUGCUCUAUAGGAUGAUCAGAAUAUAUUUUGUAACAACUAUUUCAUGUAUUACAUUUUCUAAAAAUAGAGACAUUAAAUACAAUUAGUUGUUAUUCAAUUAAUUUUAGAUUUUCCAAAUAAAAAUAAAACCAGUUAGAAAGCCUGAAUUGCACUAUAUAUAUAUAUAUAUAUAUAUGCUUUAUAUUCAGCGGUAAUGUCAGUACAUUGUGCAGUAUCAUACUUUCAAUUGUUUUAAAAACCAUUUCUUGAAUGCUAUCUAAAAGUAUUGAUUUUAUUUCUUACUGCUAAGCUUGUGUACAAUGUAUUCAUGACUAUAUUCUGAAAUGCCAAAAAUUCCAUUCCAUUGUUCCGCUCCACUGAAUUAUUACACUUAAGUUUAAUUAACCAAUUUGCAAGUA